GACGAACGCUGGCGGCGUGCUUAACACAUGCAAGUCGAACGAUGAAGCCGGAGCUUGCUCUGGUGAAUUAGUGGCGAACGGGUGAGUAGCACGUGAGUAACCUGCCCUUGACUCUGGGAUAACUGCUAGAAAUGGUAGCUAAUACCGGAUACGACCCUCGGAGGCAUCUCCAGGGGGUGGAAAGAAUUUCGGUCAAGGAUGGACUCGCGGCCUAUCAGCUAGUUGGUGAGGUAACGGCUCACCAAGGCGACGACGGGGAGCCGGCCUGAGAGGGUGACCGGCCGCACUGGGACUAAGGCACGGCCCAGACGCCUGCGGGAGGCGGCAGUGGAGAAUAUUGCACAAUGGGCGCAAGCCUGGUGCAGCAACGCCGCGUGAGGGAUGACGGCGUUCGGGUUGUAAACCUCUUUGAGUAGGGAAGAAGCGAAAGUGACGGUGCCUGCAGAAAAAGCACCGGCUAACUACGUGCCAGCAGCCGCCGCAG
rnacentral:rRNA from 1 species